AUUGAACGCUGGCGGAAUGCUUUACACAUGCAAGUCGAACGGCAGCACGGACUUCGGUCUGGUGGCGAGUGGCGAACGGGUGAGUAAUGUAUCGGAACGUGCCCAGUCGUGGGGGAUAACGAAGUGAAAAUUACGCUAAUACCGCAUACCAUCUAUGGAUGAAAGCGGGGGAUCGCCAGAUCACGCGCGAUUCGAGCGGCCGAUAUCAGAUUAGGUAGUUGGUGGGGUAAAGGCCCACCAAGCCAACGAUCUGUAGCUGGUCUGAGAGGACGACCAGCCACACUGGAACUGAGACACGGUCCAGACUCCUACGGGAGGCAGCAGUGGGGAAUUUUGGACAAUGGGCGAAAGCCUGAUCCAGCCAUUCCGCGUGCAGGAUGAAGGCCCUCGGGUUGUAAACUGCUUUUGUACAGAACGAAAAGGUUUCUACUAAUACUAGGAGCUCAUGACGGUACUGUAAGAAUAAGCACCGGCUAACUACGUGCCAGCAGCCGCCGUAU
rnacentral:rRNA from 1 species